AAAACGACUCUCGGCAACGGAUAUCUCGGCUCUCGCGUCGAUGAAGAACGUAGCGAAAUGCGAUACUUGGUGUGAAUUGCAGAAUCCCGUGAACCAUCGAGUCUUUGAACGCAAGUUGCGCCCUAAGCCUUCUGGCCGAGGGCACGUCUGCCUGGGUGUCACAAA
rnacentral:rRNA from 1 species